UCUGGUGGGUAUAGCUGUAGGGAAACACCCGUUACCAUUCCGAAUACGGAAGUUAAGUUUACAGCGCCGAUGAUACUUGUCUGGAGACGGACCGGGAAAGUAGGUACCGCCAGAU
rfam:Candidatus Babela massiliensis strain BABL1 complete genome